rnacentral:rRNA from 1 species
UACGGAGGGGGCUAGCGUUGUUCGGAAUUACUGGGCGUAAAGCGCACGUAGGCGGCUUUGUAAGUUAGAGGUGAAAGCCCAGGGCUCAACCCUGGAAUUGCCUUUAAGACUGCAUCGCUUGAACAUCGGAGAGGUAAGUGGAAUUCCGAGUGUAGAGGUGAAAUUCGUGGAUAUUCGGAAGAACACCAGUGGCGAAGGCGACUUACUGGACGAUUGUUGACGCUGAGGUGCGAAAGCGUGGGGAGCAAACAGG